AUUGAACGCUGGCGGCAGGCCUAACACAUGCAAGUCGAGCGGAGCGACGGACGGGUGAGUAAUUCCUAGGAAUCUGCCUGGUAGUGGGGGAUAACGUCCGGAAACGGGAGCUAAUACCGCAUCCUAUCAGAUGACCCUAGGUCGGAUUAGCUAGUUGGUGGGGUAAAGGCCUACCAAGGCGACUAUCCGUAACUGGUCUGAGAGGAUGAUCAGGCACACUGGAACGGGGAUACGGCCCAGACGACGAAGGGAGGCAGAAGUGGGGGAUAUUGGACAAUGGGCGAAAGCCUGAGGCAGCGAGGGUGAGUGGGGGAUGAAGGCUUUCGGGUUGUAAACCUCUUUCGCUAUCGAACGGGUAGGUGGAGAAGAAGCGCCGGCUAACUACGUGCCAGCAGCCGCGGUAAUAC
rnacentral:rRNA from 1 species